CCUACGGGUGUCUGCAGUGAGGAAUAUUGGUCAAUGGACGCAAGUCUGAACCAGCCAUGUCGCGUGCAGGAAGACUGCCCUAUGGGUUGUAAACUUCUUUUAUACGGGGAUAAACGCAGCUACGCGUGUCUGUCUGCAUGUAUCUUACGAAUAAGGAUCGGCUAACUCCGUGCCAGCAGCCGCGGUAAUACGGAGGAUUCGAGCGUUAUCCGGAUUUACUGGGUUUAAAGGGAGCGUAGACGGGUGUGUAAGUCUGUAGUGAAAGUCCGUGGCUCAACCGCGGAACUGCUAUGGAUACUGGAAGGCUUGAGUACUGGAGAGGCAGGCGGAAUUCGUGGGGUAGCGGUGAAAUGCGUAGAUAUUAGGAGGAACACCAGUGGCGAAGGCGGCCUGCUGGACAGAAACUGACGUUGAGGCUCGAAAGCGUGGGGAGCAAACAGGAUUAGAUACCCGAGUAGUC
rnacentral:rRNA from 1 species